GGAAGGACUGUAGCUCAGUGGUAGGGCAUCUGCCUUGCAUACAGAAGGUCCCAGGUUCAAUCCCUGGCGUCUCCA